AGGGUUUGAUUCUGGCUCAGGACGAACGCUGGCGGCGUGCCUAACACAUGCAAGUCGAGCGGAGCUUUUGGAAAAGAAGUUUUCGGAUGGAAUAGAAGGAAGCUUAGCGGCGGACGGGUGAGUAACGCGUGGGCAAUCUGCCUUAUACAGGGGGAUAACACAGGGAAACUUGUGCUAAUACCGCAUAAAACUGCACCGUGGCAUCACGGAGUAGCCAAAGGAGAAAUCCGGUAAAAGAGGAGCCCGCGUCUGAUUAGCUAGUUGGUGAGGUAACGGCUCACCAAGGCGACGAUCAGUAGCCGAACUGAGAGGUUGAACGGCCACAUUGGGACUGAGACACGGCCCAG
rnacentral:rRNA from 1 species